CGUCUUACUAAAUCCGAUGGUGCUUCCGAGCGGAAGCUGAAAAGGGAAUGCGGUGCGAUGCCCCCGGGCGUCAAAUCCGCAGCUGCCCCCGCAACUGUCAGCGGCGAGCGGCUCUGCCGAUGAUGCCACUGUCCUGGAUCGAGUCCAGGGCGGGAAGGCGGCAGGGACGCGACGACCCGCGAGCCAGGAGACCUGCCAUCAGCGAUCAGCGCGU
rnacentral:ncRNA from 2 species